rnacentral:tRNA from 1 species
GGAGGGGUGUCCGAGCGGUUUAAGGUGACGGUCUUGAAAACCGUUGAGCCCGAGAGGGCUCCGUGGGUUCGAAUCCCACCUCCUCCGCCA